rnacentral:rRNA from 1 species
ACGAUGAAGAGUUUGAUCCUGGCUCAGGAUGAACGCUAGCGGCAGGCCUAACACAUGCAAGUCGAGGGGUAACAUUGGUGCUUGCACCAGAUGACGACCGGCGCACGGGUGCGUAACGCGUAUACAAUCUACCUUAUACUGGGGGAUAGCCUUUAGAAAUGAAGAUUAAUACCCCAUGGUUUGCAGACAUGGCAUCAUGCCCGCAAUAAAGGUCACGGUAUAAGAUGAGUAUGCGUUCUAUUAGUUAGUUGGUGUGGUAACGGCACACCAAGACAGCGAUAGAUAGGGGCCCUGAGAGGGGGAUCCCC